CGUUUGAUAGACGUCUUUUCGCUCAAUUACCAACCCAAAUUUCCACGUCAUACUAACGUCAAACACCAACGUUUGUCCAACGUAAACUUGCACUGCUGAUUCACGUUGGCCCAACGUUGUUUGUACGUUAAUCUGAAGGUUGGGCAAACGUCAUUUCACUCAUUGUCCGUCCUUAUUUCUUAUGUCACAUCAACGUUGGUAGUCAGUUGGUGUUAACGUCAAAACAACGUUGUUUGUACGUUAGCGUUAAACGUUUGAUUACCAACCCAAAUUUCCACGUCAUACUAACGUCAAACACCAACGUUUGUCCAACGCAAACUUGCACUGCUGAUUCACGUUGGCCCAACGUUGUUUGUACGUUGGUCUGAACAUUGAGCAAACGUCAUUUCACUUAUUGUCCGACCUUAUUUCUUACGUCACAUCAACGUUGGUAGUCAGUUGGCGUUAACGUUGGAUAAACGUCAUUUCGCUCAAUUCUCAACCUUUUUUUUCACGUAUCAACGUUGGCUCUACAUUGUGUGCACGUUGGCCUGAACGUUGGACAAACGUCAUUGCACUCAUUUUCCGACCUUAUUUUUAAUGUCAUAUCAACGUUGUUUGUACGUUGGCGGGUAAACGUUGGAUAAAGGCCAUUUUGCUCAUUUCCACGCCACAUAAACGUUGGCCCAACAUUGUAUUUUCUACGUCACACCAACAUAAUUGCAAUUUUUGUCACCACGCUUACUGUAUUCAAGAGUACAUGUAUAAUGUAAUCAGCUGAGGGUAUAUCUAGUCACCUCUCAUUCCUAACAUAAAAAUUGAGAACUGAACAAACUAACUUAAUUAGCUUACUCGAUCUAAAGGAAGAAAACCAAGAAGCUAUAUAGUUUAGUUACAUGUUAAUAAAAUUUAUUUUAAUGACUGUUAACAAAGAUCAGUACGACGCAUGUAAGUGGAAAGUUAUGGCCAAUAUAACACGAACACAUUUUUUUUUAUCAGUGUCGUUUUAAAGGGAAUUAAUGUACAUCGUUGUCCGGAACUUUGUUACACGGUCUAUAUGCUGUAGCGGUGAGUCGUGACUCCGUGAAGAGGUCAAAGAACCAAUUUUCCUAGCGACCACUUUAUGUUGCAUGAAAACGUACACGUUGCGCAUAUAUCUAGCUAGACAUAGCAAAGAUUGCAGUUUCACAAACUGUCAUUGUACAGUAAACAAAAAUAACAAUAAAACUGAUGACUCUGGUUGCAGGGAGAUGUAAAACAACCAACAUUUUCUUAUAAUUUUUCUAAAUUUCGCACUGGAAAAUAACCAUUGUAACAAGCUAUGUUAAGUGCACGAAAGAGGGAGUAAUUGUUAAAUGCACUGUGCUGAACCAUUGCUCAUGAAGUCGGCGUGACUUCACACGCAUUAUGCACACCAAAGGAUUGGAUAGUUAAAAGUCCAACCAAAAAAAAAGGAAUUAUUGGCGGGCUGCUGCAAACAAUGUGAGCACCGGAGCUAUUAAGGCAUAACUAUGCAAAUAUGGGUGUGAUAUUUAGUACCCCUGAACUGGUCUUCUUGACAAUGUGUCGUGACGUGAUUGUCAAAUAAUGAUUUCAAUAAAUUGAGCUCUUAAUCAUUUUUACAUGUUCGUAUUGUUUAUGACAAUUGCUACCAAGUAUACAUUUGUAUCGUACCUCAUCUAAUAUGACACAGCAUGAUUUCUUCCACUCUGCCACAUUAUAUUUAUUUAUUUAUUUAUUAUCCACAUCCAACAGCAGAACAAACCGCCAAUUACAGGACUGGUUAAUAUAUAUCAUUAUAUGAUGAUUGCGGCAUGUUGUGCAGUCGUUUCCUGCAAAUUGCCACCUGAACAUAAACAUAACCGAUAUAUAGGUUUUGGUAUUUACAAUAAAGUAAAAUGCAACUCACGAAAUAUAAUUGUAACAAUUUGUAUUCUUGUCAGGGAUAACAGGUCCAUUUGGCAUGUAUAAAGCCAAGAUCUAAAACUUCAAAAUGCGUGUCAAUACGAUAUGACGAUGUGUGGUUCAGUUCAUAUAGUUUGAACGUCAGUACAGUUUAGAUCAGUUCGCAAUAACGUUGCGUCAGUAUAAGUUGCAGAACUUAACUCUGUGUGAUACAAGUUCAUUUUUGAAUUGGAUAUUUCUCAUCAAUUAAACAAAGUACCCACCUUGUCCUUAAACGAAAUCUCGUGUCUCAGUUGUCCUGUGCGGUUGUGUUCGUUGGACAACCAAAGCUUUGCUCUGUAUUCAGUCCUGCAUAGACUACGCACCUCCUGGCCAGGAGUUGUCCCUUUUCGGGUUGCUCCUUUGAAAGCGCCUUCAUAGCCAGGAAGCAGUGCUGGCCUCCAAUCACAGUGUAGCGAUACCCAUUAGCCUGUGUGAAUGUUUUGAAAUGGCAUUGUUUUAUGGAAAUAAUUGAUAUGCAUGUACACCACUGGUCUAAAUCUGUGCCGGCGAGGGGGGGGGGGGGGGGAGACAAAAAUCAAAAAAUUGGCAGACCGUGGACAUUUGAAACGUGCAUCUUUUUAUUACUAGACUUGCAGUUACUUAAAAACAGCACAUUUAAGCUUUUGUACUUGUUCCCCUCAAUUUUACCCUCAACCUACAAACAAUAGUUACAACAAAAUAAGGGAGCAAAUGAGACACGGUGGCUUUUUAUUUCGUGAAAUAGCCGCUUAAACACAAGCUCUUUUGAAAUAAACGAAAGAAACAUGUCAUUGGCAAUCCUGUUUUAUGGUGUGUGCACAUUAAUAUAUAAGGAUCGAAAUCGGAAGAUGAGAAUGGUUUGGAGGGUUCAGCUGUCCCUGACCACCUUCCAAAAAUCAUAAAUCAAGAUUAUGCUGGAAGAGUUCAGGGAUUUUGGGGAGAAAUGUGCUUUGCCAACCUCUGGAAACGUCUCAUAAUCAUUUACAUGGCGCUUAGACAUAACAUUAAUUACCUUCUUUUGGUCAUAUUCUUUUACUCCAACAUUCUGAACAUGUAGCAGCAAGGCCUGGUGUGUGUUGUCCACGAACUCCCUUACUCUUGUUGUCAGGGACUUGCAGAAGGUUUUGUCCACGGUUCGGGCUUGUUCGCCUAACUCCAUAUUUGAUAAAUUUAUCAAAAUAUUGGUGGCUGAAAUAAAAAGAGUUGCACACAGGACAAUUUUGUGAAAGACGAUCAUGAAAUAGUCAACACCAGUAUUAAGCAACAAGUCCCAUUCACACUAUAUCAGUAAAAGUUUACUCUUCUUUUGAGUUUAAUUUAAUAGUGAGUGAAGGAUGACCCUUAGCCACACUUAUUUAUGCAUGUUAUUAGAUCCAGCAUGCUUUCCGAUUCAUUUUGUGCUUUUGCCGACCGGAUGAUAAUGUACAUUUGUCUUUAUCUUAUUUACUUUUCAUUGCUAUAAAGGACAACAUUCAAAACAUAUUGAUCGUUUUACUAUGAUCGUGAAUUCAGUUGAAAAAAAAUUAAAUAAAUAUAAUGUAAAACAGAAGAUAUUCAUGGAGUCUCAUACAUUUCAUUCACAUCUGGACAAUGUAAUUCAUAAUUCCGAUCAUGUUGAGGUCCAAAAUCAGGGAGUUCUUGUGUUAAUGCUCUUCCCCAAUAUUGAAAUGAUCUCAUAACCAAUCAAGUCUGUGGAGGGGAUUCUUUGCAGAAACCGUUUUAUAACAAAUUUUGAAGUUGUGGACGGACUUGCAUCUGGCUCUAGCAUGCAUGAGCUGCAUGGAUCAGGUGAAGAUGUAGCCGGUUCUGUAGAAAAAAAAGCUGCAGAUGGAGUAGACUCUGGGUUGGGAGAAGCUUCAGAGGGGUCUUCAUGGUUGUAGAUAAGUGCUUGACAGAUACUUUCAAACUUUCUUCUUUCAUUGUCUUGUGUCAGUUUUCUUUAAUAUUUGCUGAGGCUUCUGACCACCAAAAUAUUUACCCGUGAUAAAUGUGCAGAUAUACCAAACUUUGCUUUGACACUUUGAAAAGUUUGAUGGCAGAGCGUUCAUUCUAAACAUAGACAAACAAUGCAUGUCUAUUCCUUAGUCCAUCGUCAGGCACUGCACUAAAAGUUCCUGUCAAAUACUCAACUGUCGAGUCAUGCCAAGUUUUACAGACAGGACCCGUCUCCUUUUCUUCUUUUGAGGCAUGACUAGAAACAGAAAAAAACAAACAGAUAUGGUGGGGAAAAAAAUUCUUAUGCCAGCAGCAACAGCGUUUCUCCUGACACCAGUUGAAAAAUAAAUAUUUUUAUGCAAAAUGUACACUGCAAAAAAAAUGUUUUCUUAUAAGAAAAUAUUUCUUGAAAUUUUCUUAGAUUUUUCUUAAAAUAUUCUUGUUUCAAGAUUUUUUUAAGAAACUAAGAAAACUUUUCUAGGGCAUAAGAAAAAUUUUCUUGAAAUGAACUGGCUGCAUGGAAAACUAGAAAAUAUUUUAUAAUGAAGGACACCUUCGUUCAUGACAUGCAUGAUAUCUUGAGUCAACAUUGUAGUCACAUCAAAACCAUGAAGAUUGUUGAGUACACUUCUUCUAUUAACACCAAAUGUUGUCUUCAAGUGAUUUUUCAUGUACUCUGUUGCGGCAGUUUCAAUUUCUUGGCAAUAUUGUGUGGAUGCAUGUAUUAUUAAAACAAUGAUACAGAUUGUAUAGGAACAUAUAAGAAUUAUAAUCACAGUGGACCUUUUUUUAUCUGUCAUAACAUUGUUAGUUUCCAUGUUAAUCAGAACAAAAAUGUAUUUACUGAAAACAGUUAGUUCAAACAUGCUUUAAAGAAAUAAAGAAAGAUUGAUGCUGAUGAUAAAGAUAAUAAUGAAUCAAUGUUAGAUUCAUUGUAUUUCUGCAGUCCAUGAUGACAACCACAUUGGGAAACAAUUAUCAAAGUGUUACUCCAACCUGAGAUAUGACUUUCCCAACCCGUCGCUUCUCCUCACCACCAUCCGUUGAACAUAGAUGGCUGACCCACUUUACCACUAUAGGAGUUGCUGGGGCUACCUCCUUGAACCAUCAUCUGACUCAGCCUGCUGGGCUUGAAAACGAAAUGACUCUGAAUUGAGCUUCAGAUUGCCUUUCAACUCCUCAAGACCCAAUGCAAUUUAUUCUUUGAAAAAGCCAAAAACAUGUUCAUCCUUGUUGACAGGUAUUUGCUGUAAAACGUGUUGACGAAAGCUCAGCUGUGCCUUCAGAGACUUCAGCUUUACCUUCAAGAGAUACCACAUAUUCAUAAACUUCACGCACAUUUCUGCCAGAGUCCCCAGUUUGUACUGUUCACGUCUCUGUACACGUUUUAUCUUGAUCUACUCUGAUUCAGCUAGGUGUGAAGUCCCUGGCAUUUCCUCUGCAGGUUGCCUUUGUGCAAGUGACAAUCUCAUAUACAUGUACCAUGUAUGUUCCACUUAAUUACAGUUGAUUUACUUGGUAGAUCUGUAAAAUCUUUUCCAGCUAACUUUAUGAUAGUUUCAAUCACAGAUGGCACUGGUCUGGUUGAUACAUUCUGGUUUAACAGCUUGCACACACUCCUUCAUUUUAUCUGUAUAGCUGCCACCACUAUCGUUUGUUUGUACAUGAUCAUUAACCAUCUCUGGACACUUGAAGCCAUUUAUUUUCUUCUAAAAUGUCAUUUUUCUUCCUUGCGUUUCUUACAUGUGCAUUUAUCUAUUGCAGUUUGCAAGGCUGUGACCUUUCUUUUCAGUUCUCUGUUUUCUGCUUUUAGCUCUUCAACAGUGAUGUCUUUAUCAUCACUGGCUAAAGUUGGGCUACUGUACAGUUGUUUUGCAAGAAAAAUGAUUUAAUUAUACACAUUGUCGAAAGAGGGUAACAUAAUAUGGCAUUUUCAUCAUGAGGCAGCACACAUGUACAUUGUAUCAUCAUAGCAAAGUUACAAUCUAACCUUCACAUGGAAAAAAUAGCUUAGCAAAUACACAAUACAUGAGUAUAGUUUGACACGGCUGUGGGUAAAGUUAAUGUUACCUGUGUCACGUCUGUUAAUUAAACACAUGUUACCAUCAGAUUCUCUGUUUCCCGACAUAUCUUCACAAACUUUACCAGUGGCUGUAAUGAAAUGUUUCACAAUAUGCUUGAAAAGAAUUGUCUGACUUAGUAGCAGCUUACAGACAAUGAAGUUAUAUAGUAAUGGAUGGAGUACAUGCCUGUACCUAAUGUACCUAACGUGAUGCCUGGGACAACUCUGUGGGGGUUUCCUUGGUGAUAACAUGAUACUUGAGUCACUUGUGAUGUGUUCCUCUGGAAGGACGCGGGAUUCGGGAAGGACAGUUUCGUCAGAGUUACUUUUGACGCGUUCUUCCUCUGGGAGGACAGGGGUUGAAGGCCGUGAUAAAUCAGCUGGAGAGUGAAUAGUCGAUGCGGAUAUGCAUGAAGCAGGCAUGCUGUGCGAUAAAUUGUGGGCGGGUGGAAUUAUAGAUCGAAAAAAGGCUUAUCUCAGGUUAACGUAUUCUCGCACUCGCGUGCUGUUGCCGCCAGGAACUCCUCGAACCUCUCUCUUGUGACGGUCUCAAAAAAGCCCUAUUGCCCUGCCUCUUUCCUUAAGUUGUAUCGACGCAAGAGAGUGAUGUAAGCAGAAACGUUUUAGUGUGUUGUGUUGAAUUAGUUGAUCUGCUAAAAACCAAAACAUAAAUUGCUUGCACUGUACUAGGAGGUUGCAGCCAAAUAGAGAGGUGAACAAAUAAUUAUUUGAACAAAUAACGCUGUGAAAGUUUGAGCUCAUUAGUUGGGGGCAGAGUUGAUAUCGAAUGUGGCAAAACAUUCCUUAUCAUUUAAUAUUUUGGUGUUGCCCUUAACCGACGUAUAACCACUGUUUACUCAGUGUGUUAUCACCGUGUGAAAGUUGGAAAAAGAAUCACUCUGGUGGGACUCGAACCUCUGACCUCCUGCUUUCUACAUGUUGUGCAGCCGUCUUACCACUCGACCACCGAGCUUGCGCGAUCGGUUGGAUGGUUUGAAUCGGAUGGAGCAGUGGGUACCGCAAUGAAAGGGUUAAACUAUUCGUAUAGAAUUGGGGCCGGGUGAUGUAAAUGUAACAUUAUUUUUUCCCUUCACCGACAUCACCCCAACGCAAAUUACAUCUUAUUCCUUAUCAUUGUUCAUCACCUGUUACUUGUGAUUCGACUUGUGAUUUACCCGAUAACAAUUUUGUUGAGAGAUAAGUACAUGUUUUUGGUAAUGGAAUUGCUGCAUUUUAAUGUACGUAAUAAAUAUUGAACAAUGACCUCA
rnacentral:lncRNA from 1 species